UGCCUUCAUAGUGUUCUUCUAUAGAUGA
rnacentral:piRNA from 1 species